GAUGAACGCUAGCGGCAGGCUUAACACAUGCAAGUCGAGGGGUAACAGGGAUUGCUUGCAAUCCGCUGACGACCGGCGCACGGGUGCGUAACGCGUAUACAAUCUACCUUUUACAGAGGGAUAGCCCAGAGAAAUUUGGAUUAAUACCUCAUAGUAUUAUUUGGUGGCAUCAUUAGAUAAUUAAAGUUUUAACGGUAAGAGAUGAGUAUGCGUUCUAUUAGCUAGUAGGUAAGGUAACGGCUUACCUAGGCGACGAUAGAUAGGGGUCCUGAGAGGGAGAUCCCCCACACUGGUACUGAGACACGGACCAGACUCCUACGGGAGGCAGCAGUGAGGAAUAUUGGGCAAUGGAGGCAACUCUGACCCAGCCAUGCCGCGUGCAGGAAGACUGCCCUAUGGGUUGUAAACUGCUUUUAUAUAGGAAGAAACCCAACUACGUGUAGUUGGCUGACGGUACUGUAUGAAUAAGCACCGGCUAACUCCG
rnacentral:rRNA from 1 species